rnacentral:rRNA from 1 species
GACGAACGCUGGCGGCGUGCUUAACACAUGCAAGUCGAACGGAAAGGCCCUGCUUUUGUGGGGUGCUCGAGUGGCGAACGGGUGAGUAACACGUGAGUAACCUGCCCUUGACUUUGGGAUAACUUCAGGAAACUGGGGCUAAUACCGGAUAGGAGCUCCUGCUGCAUGGUGGGGGUUGGAAAGUUUCGGCGGUUGGGGAUGGACUCGCGGCUUAUCAGCUUGUUGGUGGGGUAGUGGCUUACCAAGGCUUUGACGGGUAGCCGGCCUGAGAGGGUGACCGGCCACAUUGGGACUGAGAUACGGCCCAGACCCCUACGGGGGGAAGCAGGGGGGAAUAUUGCACAAGGGGGGGAAGCCGGAUGCAGCAACGCCGCGGGGGGGAUGACGGCCUUCGGGUUGUAAACCGUUUUCGCCUGGGACGAAGCGGGAGGGGCGGUAAUGGGAAAAGAAGCACCGGCUAAAUACGU